UGAUCAGUCUGGCCGCGGCCGUCCGUUUUUGGGCAGCUGCCGCAGCUCACCAUAAUUAUCGAUGCCAGCCUCGAAGGCAACUGGAGAGACGGCAGCCCGUAAGGCAUCCCAGCUAAUGCUGUCGGGCAUAUAAAUGAGCGAAAACGAAACUGGAUACGGUUUGCUGGCGACUUUGCUCAGCCUCAUUAUCGACAUUUCCGAAAUUCUUUGGCAUUUUGAAGAGUUGCCUUCCACACCGCCCCGACUCGCCCCGGAUAUUGGGCCCAUUCGUUGCGCUAUCUAAGGCCCCGGUCUAUAAAUAGAGCCGAACGCGGCGAAACACAAUUGUUCAACUUCAUAUUCAAUUGGCACUCCGGCACCUGGCACCCGCCACCCGCCACCCGGCACCAGUGGAACCAGCAAAGGAACGAGCCGGGGAACUGAUUCAAAGCGUGAACCGAAACAAGGAACCAAGGAACUAUGGAACCAAGAAACCAAGGUACACAUUACCAAGGAACUAAUGAACCAAGACCCCAAGGAACGAAUGAACCAAGGAACCAAGGAACUCAUCAACGAAGACCCCCAGGAACUAAUGAACCAAGAAACUUAAGAACUAAGGAACCAAGGAACAAAUGAACCAAGGAACAAAUAAACCAAGGAACCAGCCAUGAA